rnacentral:rRNA from 1 species
CCUACGGGGGGCUGCAGUGGGGAAUAUUGGACAAUGGGGGGAACCCUGAUCCAGCCAUGCCGCGUGUGUGAAGAAGGCCCUCGGGUUGUAAAGCACUUUCAGUGAGGAAGAACGCCUGGUGGUUAAUACCCAUCAGGAAAGACAUCACUCACAGAAGAAGCACCGGCUAACUCCGUGCCAGCAGCCGCGGUAAUACGGAGGGUGCGAGCGUUAAUCGGAAUUACUGGGCGUAAAGCGCGCGUAGGUGGCUUGAUAAGCCGGUUGUGAAAGCCCCGGGCUCAACCUGGGAACGGCAUCCGGGACUGUCAAGCUAGAGUGCAGGAGAGGAAGGUAGAAUUCCCGGUGUAGCGGUGAAAUGCGUAGAGAUCGGGAGGAAUACCAGUGGCGAAGGCGGCCUUCUGGACUGACACUGACACUGAGGUGCGAAAGCGUGGGUAGCAAACAGGAUUAGAUACCCUAGUAGUC